rnacentral:rRNA from 1 species
GCCGAAGGGAAACCGAGUCUUAACUGGGCGUUAAGUUGCAGGGUAUAGACCCGAAACCCGGUGAUCUAGCCAUGGGCAGGUUGAAGGUUGGGUAACACUAACUGGAGGACCGAACCGACUAAUGUUGAAAAAUUAGCGGAUGACUUGUGGCUGGGGGUGAAAGGCCAAUCAAACCGGGAGAUAGCUGGUUCUCCCCGAAAGCUAUUUAGGUAGCGCCUCGUGAAUUCAUCUCCGGGGGUAGAGCACUGUUUCGGCAAGGGGGUCAUCCCGACUUACCAACCCGAUGCAAACUGCGAAUACCGGAGAAUGUUAUCACGGGAGACACACGGCGGGUGCUAACGUCCGUCGUGAAGAGGGAAACAACCCAGACCGCCAGCUAAGGUCCCAAAGUCAUGGUUAAGUGGGAAACGAUGUGGGAAGGCCCAGACAGCCAGGAUGUUGGCUUAGAAGCAGCCAUCAUUUAAAGAAAGCGUAAUAGCUCACUGGUCGAGUCGGCCUGCGCGGAAGAUGUAACGGGGCUAAACCAUGCACCGAAGCUGCGGCAGCGACGCUGAUGCGUUGUUGGGUAGGGGAGCGUUCUGUAAGCCUGUGAAGGUGUGCUGUGAGGCAUGCUGGAGGUAUCAGAAGUGCGAAUGCUGACAUAAGUAACGAUAAAGCGGGUGAAAAGCCCGCUCGCCGGAAGACCAAGGGUUCCUGUCCAACGUUAAUCGGGGCAGGGUGAGUCGACCCCUAAGGCGAGGCCGAAAGGCGUAGUCGAUGGGAAACAGGUUAAUAUUCCUGUACUUGGUGUUACUGCGAAGGGGGGACGGAGAAGGCUAUGUUGGCCGGGCGACGGUUGUCCCGGUUUAAGCGUGUAGGCUGGUUUUCCAGGCAAAUCCGGAAAACUAAGGCUGAGGCGUGAUGACGAGGCACUACGGUGCUGAAGCAACAAAUGCCCUGCUUCCAGGAAAAGCCUCUAAGCAUCAGGUAACAUCAAAUCGUACCCCAAACCGACACAGGUGGUCAGGUAGAGAAUACCAAGGCGCUUGAGAGAACUCGGGUGAAGGAACUAGGCAAAAUGGUGCCGUAACUUCGGGAGAAGGCACGCUGAUAUGUAGGUGAAGUCCCUCGCGGAUGGAGCUGAAAUCAGUCGAAGAUACCAGCUGGCUGCAACUGUUUAUUAAAAACACAGCACUGUGCAAACACGAAAGUGGACGUAUACGGUGUGACGCCUGCCCGGUGCCGGAAGGUUAAUUGAUGGGGUCAGCGCAAGCGAAGCUCUUGAUCGAAGCCCCGGUAAACGGCGGCCGUAACUAUAACGGUCCUAAGGUAGCGAAAUUCCUUGUCGGGUAAGUUCCGACCUGCACGAAUGGCGUAAUGAUGGCCAGGCUGUCUCCACCCGAGACUCAGUGAAAUUGAACUCGCUGUGAAGAUGCAGUGUACCCGCGGCAAGACGGAAAGACCCCGUGAACCUUUACUAUAGCUUGACACUGAACAUUGAGCCUUGAUGUGUAGGAUAGGUGGGAGGCUUUGAAGUGUGGACGCCAGUCUGCAUGGAGCCGACCUUGAAAUACCACCCUUUAAUGUUUGAUGUUCUAACGUUGACCCGUAAUCCGGGUUGCGGACAGUGUCUGGUGGGUAGUUUGACUGGGGCGGUCUCCUCCUAAAGAGUAACGGAGGAGCACGAAGGUUGGCUAAUCCUGGUCGGACAUCAGGAGGUUAGUGCAAUGGCAUAAGCCAGCUUGACUGCGAGCGUGACGGCGCGAGCAGGUGCGAAAGCAGGUCAUAGUGAUCCGGUGGUUCUGAAUGGAAGGGCCAUCGCUCAACGGAUAAAAGGUACUCCGGGGAUAACAGGCUGAUACCGCCCAAGAGUUCAUAUCGACGGCGGUGUUUGGCACCUCGAUGUCGGCUCAUCACAUCCUGGGGCUGAAGUAGGUCCCAAGGGUAUGGCUGUUCGCCAUUUAAAGUGGUACGCGAGCUGGGUUUAGAACGUCGUGAGACAGUUCGGUCCCUAUCUGCCGUGGGCGCUGGAGAACUGAGGGGGGCUGCUCCUAGUACGAGAGGACCGGAGUGGACGCAUCACUGGUGUUCGGGUUGUCAUGCCAAUGGCACUGCCCGGUAGCUAAAUGCGGAAGAGAUAAGUGCUGAAAGCAUCUAAGCACGAAACUUGCCCCGAGAUGAGUUCUCCCUGACUCCUUGAGAGUCCUGAAGGAACGUUGAAG